UACGGGGGGGGCAAGCGUUGUUCGGAAUUACUGGGCGUAAAGGGCUCGUAGGCGGCAAACUAAGUCAGACGUGAAAUCCCUCGGCUUAACCGGGGAACUGCGUCUGAUACUGGUUGGCUUGAAUCCGGGAGAGGGAUGUGGAAUUCCAGGUGUAGCGGUGAAAUGCGUAGAUAUCAGGAAGAACACCCGUGGCUAAGGCGGCUCUCUAGUACGGUACUGACGCUGAGACGCGAAAGCGUGGGGAGCGAACAGG
rnacentral:rRNA from 1 species